rnacentral:rRNA from 1 species
UACAGAGGGUGCGAGCGUUGUCCGGAAUCACUGGGCGUAAAGGGCGCGUAGGCGGCCUGAUAAGUAGGGGGUGAAAUCCUGUGGCUUAACUGCAGGGCUGCCUCCUAGACUGUUAGGCUCGAGCACGGUAGAGGCAGAUGGAAUUCCCGGUGUAGCGGUGGAAUGCGUAGAGGUCGGGAAGAACAUCGGUGGCGAAGGCGGUCUGCUGGGCCGUUGCUGACGCUGAGGCGCGACAGCGUGGGGAGCAAACGGG